UUAUUUUUUUUAAAUGAAUAGGCCGCGGUUAAGUGUAGAACCGCGGCCUAUUCCCCCUUUAUGCCGCGGUUAAGUGUAGAACCGCGGCAGAUUCUGUUCUGAAGGUUAAAAUCAAUCAGAACAGUUUUCAUCUUCUCCACGCGAUUCUGAACUCUGCCUCUGCAAAAACACGAAAACGCUCCGCCAUCUUUGUCUUUGUCGUCGCGCCGUCCACCGUUGCGCCCUCCGUUCCUCCGUUCGUCGUUCUGC
rnacentral:lncRNA from 1 species